rnacentral:rRNA from 1 species
UACAGAGGUCUCAAGCGUUGUUCGGAUUCAUUGGGCGUAAAGGGCGCGUAGGUGGCGUCGCAAGUCAACGGUGAAAGCUCGACGCUCAACGUCGAGUCGGCCGUCGAGACUGCGAGGCUCGAGCACUGUAGAGGCAGAUGGAAUUCCGGGUGUAGCGGUGGAAUGCGUAGAGAUCCGGAAGAACACCGGUGGCGAAGGCGGUCUGCUGGGCAGUUGCUGACACUGAGGCGCGACAGCGUGGGGAGCAAACAGG